rnacentral:rRNA from 1 species
AUUGAACGCUGGCGGCAGGCCUAACACAUGCAAGUCGAGCGAGCGGCGGACGGGUGAGUAAUGUCUGGGAAACUGCCUGAUGGAGGGGGAUAACUACUGGAAAAGGUAGCUAAUACCGCAUACCAUCAGAUGUGCCCAGAUGGGAUUAGCUAGUAGGUGGGGUAACGGCUCACGUAGGCGACGAUCCCUAGCUGGUCUGAGAGGAUGACCAGCCACACUGGAACUUAUACAGUGUCGCGCCUCCUGCGGGAGGCAGCCGUGUGGAAGAUUGCACCAUGGGCGCAGGCCUGAUGCAGCCAUGCCGCGUGUGUGAAGAAGGCCUUCGGGUUGUAAAGCAAUUUCAGCGGGGAGGCGUUACCCGCAGAAGAAGCACCGGCUAACUCCGUGCCAGCCGCCGCGGUAAUAC